GUAAUUUUAUAUCAAACAUCCAUGGAUUUCCUUUGAAUUCUUGAUGUGUUCAUCACAUUUUAAGAACUCAAUUAUGAACUUGAUUGCAUGUGUGAGGUUCUGAUGGUGUUCAAGUUUUACAGAGAAGUUAUAGAAGCAAUGAACAUGGGUACAAGAUGCAAGCUUUGGAAUUUUGAUCGGUGAUUUUUGAAGAAGUUUGGGUUAAACCCGUGUUCUAGGACAAGGCUCCACUAAAAAGGAAAUGAGGUCUAGGGACGCGUUUGAAGUUGAGGUACUGAAGCUGUCAAAUUGGUGUUUUGAGGACUACAGGUUUGGGUACUCGAGCGGAACAAAAGGAUGGUUUUAGGCUUGCGAAAUAACGCCGUACUGUUGUUAAAUCUGUUAUCACCAUGUUCAUAGGACGCACUCUACGCUGUAGUCGACGCCGAUAUUGAGGUUGCGCUUCAGAAAGCAGAGAUUAGCAGAGAUUACUCGAAGAGAUUCACAAAGAUUGGCAGUAAAAAAGGACAUUUCCUUAGUUGUUGCAUUGGGCUCUGCUACUCAAAUUGCAAUGUUUGUGUUGCGGUUUCGCUGCGGACUUUUAUAUAGUGGAAAAAUGUGGUUGAUGCUGUCAAAGUUCCGGCCGCGAUAAUGUUGCAGACACCUGAAUAUCCUUUAUAUUGCGGCUUCAAUUGCGGUUGCGAACUAUAACUUAAAACCAUUUUCAUAUAUAGUCUUCUUUAUUUUAAUAAUAAUGAAAACUAAUAUUUUACAAU